AAGGCAUUGGUUGAUCACUCUCCCUCAAGGGCUUCUCGCCAAGGUGAAGUAUUAUAUCCUAGGUCGUCCCCUUCUUAAUUCUAAGGGAGACUUGGGGUACUUACACAAGGUUGUGGAGCCUGCGAGGGGGAAUGACCAAGCUUCUUGCCUU
rnacentral:pre_miRNA from 1 species